CAUAGCAGGCAAAUCAAAAGGAAAAAAAAUUAAAAUAAUGUGCGAAAGUUGUGAAAAGCAGUCUGGUCACACUGGAUAAAGGCGUUUUGCUUGUCGUCGCCUGGUUAUAAAUCAACUGGAUAUGUGGUCCGCUCUUGAAAUGCAUGUCUAAUUAGCUGGAGAUAAAAAUAUACAUAUACAUUCAUAUACAUGUUUAUAAAAGUGUGCACACCCAAGCACACACACACACACACACACACACACACCGUAGACAAAUCCAUUCCAAUGUCUGGCCAUUCUAUUUUUGGGCGAGUGCUUCUGCUUUUUGGUGGAGUGUUAUUGAUGGCCAACAGCAUCUGGCCACAAGCAAAUACGAAACGAAGCAUUAUGAGAAUUUGGCAGCAUAUUGUUGCUGAUGUGGAAGUGAGGCUGGUCACACUUCAAAGUCAGGCAGCGACUCAAGGGCAAGGUUCCGUUUGGGCUUUGCAUAAUUUUUCAACUCCGUCUACAUAUUGUCCACAGUUCUAGUGAAGCCCCACUCAUAACUGCACAUGACACACACUCAUAGACACGCACACACACACUCACACGUUUCCAAUGCUGCCCCCGGGGCCAUUUACAUAAUCUUCGACUUUGACGCUGGGCUCGUUUCUGAGCGUGGCUGCCUGUUGCGAUUUAUUGGCUGCCAGUUCGGGCCUUAGUUGAUUGCCAGCCUCCGCUGGCUCUUGGCCAUAUUUAUAACCUGCACUUAAUAAAGCUCGUUUAAUUUUAUAACUUA